rnacentral:pre_miRNA from 1 species
UUUGAAAGAGAGCCAUUAAUGUGGGUUUGGACGGUUACUACCACUAACACGUUUUCAUUGAAUGUAUUAAUGAUCUAUGACUUGUUUUAGGCUAUAAAUAGGCUUUCAUCUUCAAC